UUUAUACUCCCUCCGUCCCAAAUUUUUUGUCUUAGAUUUGUCUAAAUACAGAUGUAUCAAGUCACGUUUUAGUAUUAGAUACAUCCGUAUCUCGACAAAUAUAAGACAAGAAUUUUAGGGACGGAGGGAGUAUAUG
rfam:Triticum aestivum genome assembly, contig: Triticum_aestivum_CS42_TGACv1_scaffold_221242_3B